rnacentral:rRNA from 1 species
GCCAGCAGCCGCGGUAAUACGGAGGGUGCAAGCGUUGUUCGGAUUUAUUGGGCGUAAAGCGCGUGUAGGCGGUCUUUUAAGUCUGAUGUGAAAGCCCCGGGCUCAACCCGGGAAGUGCAUUGGAAACUGGGAGACUUGAAUACGGGAGAGGGUAGUGGAAUUCCUAGUGUAGGAGUGAAAUCCGUAGAUAUUAGGAGGAACACCGGUGGCGAAGGCGGCUACCUGGACCGAUAUUGACGCUGAGACGCGAAAGCGUGGGGAGCAAACAGGAUUAGAUACCCUGGUAGUCCACGCCGUAAACGAUGAGUACUAGGUGUCGCGGGUA